GGGAUUGUGGCUCAGUGGUAGAGUUCUUGCCUAGAGUGCAUGAGGCACUGGGUUCAAUUCUUAGCACCA
rnacentral:tRNA from 1 species